GAUCGGGAGCCCGCCCGUGGGACGGCAGGCACGAAUUGGUCCGGACCCGUUUGUUUCAAUGUGACGCGCGCCCGCGGCCCCGGCGGUGU
rnacentral:ncRNA from 1 species